rnacentral:pre_miRNA from 1 species
GAGGGUUCUACAGGAUCGUCCUGAGACCACAUGAACCAGAUUCAGAAGACAAUGAUACUUGUUUCUGCUCUCAUCUCGUGUGUUCUCAGGUCGCUUCUGUUGAACUUUU